CUUUUUUGCUCAAAGUUAAUUAGUAUACUUUUGUUUUUUUUUCUCAUUAUAUAUAUUAAUUUUAAGUUCACUUUUGGGCGUGGGAGCUUAUCACAGUCAGAGAACCUUACGAUCUCCAGUAUCUUAAUAGAAAUUGGUUCGAAGUUGCCGGUGGUAUUUCAGGCGUUGGGAAAAGUAGUGCCUAUCUCUAUCUCUAGUUCAAGGCUAUUUUCGGGCUCAUGAAAAGGCAUAUCUGUGCCUUUGAUAAUAUUAUUUGAAAGAGUAUUUAAUGUUAACAAUGGAUUCCAAAGGUUCAAUGUUAAAGGAGAAACAAAAAUGUCCACUAACAUAGGGACAAGUAAUAUUUUAACUGUACCCUUGGAGAACCAAACAGGUAAACCUUGUGAUCAGCCACCAAUGAGUAGUAGCACAAAUCACAAAGUAUUUUUAACCCAUGAGCGUUGUUUAUGAGGGCUCAAAUGUAUAUAGGAGUGGUAGAUUGAGGUCCCUUCAAGAGAGUGCGAGGCAGCCCACUGGACCUGUUCUCCUUCUCCUACUGUUACGCUUUUACAGCGCUAUAUAAUGAAACUACGCAAUAGGAGAGGGCGGAGUAACAUAUCUUAAAAGAAUUACUUUUAUAUGGCGCAAAGAACGCAAACAGUCGAUCCGAUUGAGCCCGUAUACUUUGUAAAAUUUCAUACCAACAACCGUUUUAAAAAAAUAAACUUUAAAUUUUGGAUGGAUUUGGGGCUAAUAACUAAGGAGUAUCUUUUAAAUUCUCUAGUGGAUAAGGAUCCGCGCUCAUAGCUAACUUAUCUUUUUUAGAAAACGGGAAACCCCCCUAUUAGAACCCUAAAGACCUUUCGGAACCUCAAAGUGAGAUGUAACUGUGAUUAAGGCUUUGCUUAUG